GCGCCCAUAGCUCAGCUGGAUAGAGCAACGGCCUUCUAAGCCGUAGGUCACACGUUCAAAUCGUGUUGGGCGUACCA
rnacentral:tRNA from 1 species